ACAAUCAGCGCCAUUGCUCCGUAGCUCAAAAAAGUAAAGCCGUGCAUCGCUCCGAGAUACUGACCAAUCCAGCAAGCGAACCAUCAACCGAUCUGGCUAUCAGCGAGCUGAUCAGUAACGCCAUGUAAUCGCCUCCGCGGUUGCACCAAUCUGAAUAACCUGCUGGCUGAUUUAUCUUCAUGCUUCUCCUCAGAGCACCG
rnacentral:rRNA from 1 species